rnacentral:rRNA from 1 species
AGAGCGAACGCUGGCGGCAGGCCUAACACAUGCAAGUCGAACGGAUCCUUCGGGAUUAGUGGCAGACGGGUGAGUAACACGUGGGAACGUGCCUUUUGGUUCGGAACAACUCAGGGAAACUUGAGCUAAUACCGGAUGUGCCCUUCGGGGGAAAGAUUUAUCGCCAUUAGAGCGGCCCGCGUCUGAUUAGCUAGUUGGUGAGGUAAAGGCUCACCAAGGCUUCGAUCAGUAGCUGGUCUGAGAGGAUGAUCAGCCACACUGGGACUGAGACACGGCCCAGACUCCUACGGGAGGCAGCAGUGGGGAAUCUUGCGCAAUGGGCGAAAGCCUGACGCAGCCAUGCCGCGUGAAUGAUGAAGGUCUUAGGAUUGUAAAAUUCUUUCACCGGGGAUGAUAAUGACAGUACCCGAGAAGAAGACCCGGCUAACUUCGUGCCAGCAGCCGC